rnacentral:rRNA from 1 species
UGGGGAAUCUUGCACAAUGGGCGGAAGCCUGAUGCAGCGACGCCGCGUGGGGGAUGACGGCCUUCGGGUUGUAAACUCCUUUCGCCAGGGACGAAGCCGUGAGGUGACGGUACCUGGAUAAGAAGCACCGGCUAACUACGUGCCAGCAGCCGCGGUAAUACGUAGGGUGCGAGCGUUGUCCGGAAUUACUGGGCGUAAAGAGCUCGUAGGUGGUUUGUCGCGUCGUCUGUGAAAUUCCGGGGCUUAACUCCGGGCGUGCAGGCGAUACGGGCAUAACUUGAGUGCUGUAGGGGAGACUGGAAUUCCUGGUGUAGCGGUGAAAUGCGCAGAUAUCAGGAGGAACACCGAUGGCGAAGGCAGGUCUCUGGGCAGUAACUGACGCUGGGGAGCGAAAGCAUGGGUAGCAAACAGG